rnacentral:rRNA from 1 species
CAAUAGCGUAUAUUAAAGUUGUUGCAGUUAAAAAGCUCGUAGUUGGACCUUGGACCUGGACAGGCGGUCCGCCUCACGGCGUGUACUGUCUUGCUGGGUCUUUCCUCUUGGUGAUCUGUUGUUUCGGCAGCAGGGAACCAGGACUUUUACUUUGAAAAAAUUAGAGUGUUCAAAGCAGGCUCGACGCCUGAAUAUAUUAGCAUGGAAUAAUAAAAUAGGACGUGCGGUUCUAUUUUGUUGGUUUUUGGAAUCGCCGUAAUGAUUAAUAGGGACAGUCGGGGGCAUUAGUACUCACAUGCUAGAGGUGAAAUUCUUGGAUUUUGUGAAGACUAACUUCUGCGAAAGCAUUUGCCAAGGAUGUUUUCAUUAA